rnacentral:rRNA from 1 species
GAGGAAUAUUGGGCAAUGGUCGGAAGACUGACCCAGCCAUGCCGCGUGCAGGAAGACGGCCCUAUGGGUUGUAAACUGCUUUUGUACGGGAAGAAACCCUCCUACGUGUAGGAGCUUGACGGUACCGUAAGAAUAAGCAUCGGCUAACUCCGUGCCAGCAGCCGCGGUAAUACGGAGGAUGCGAGCGUUAUCCGGAAUCAUUGGGUUUAAAGGGUCCGUAGGCGGUCUUAUAAGUCAGUGGUGAAAUCUCCUAGCUCAACUAGGAAACUGCCAUUGAUACUGUAGGACUUGAAUUUUUGUGAAGUAACUAGAAUAUGUAGUGUAGCGGUGAAAUGCUUAGAUAUUACACGGAAUACCAAUUGCGAAGGCAGGUUACUAACAAACGAUUGACGCUGAUGGACGAAAGCGUGGGGAGCGAAC